rnacentral:rRNA from 1 species
AAUAUAAAUUUAAAAUACUAAAAUAGUAUAUAAUUAUUUAUUGAAACUUAAAUAAUUUGGCGGUAUUUUAGUUCAUUUAGAGGAAUCUGUUUAUUAAUUGAUAAUCCACGAAUGAAUUUACUUAAUUUAAAAUUUUGUAUAUCGUUGUUAAAAAAAUAUUUUUAAAUGAAAAUAAUAUUUUAAUUUUAUAAUUAAAAAUUAAAUCAGAUCAAGAUGCAGAUUAUAAUUAAGAAUAUAAUGGAUUACAAUAAAUUUAUUUAAAUGGAUUUUUUUUUGUAAUAAAAAUUUGUUUGUGGAUUUAAAUGUAAUUUUAUUUAUUUUAAUAAAAUGAUUAUAUAUUAAAAUAUGUACAUAUUGCCCGUCGCUUUCAUAAAUAAAUUGGAAUAAGUCGUAACAAAGUAGAGGUACUGGAAAGUGUUUCUAGAAAUAA